rnacentral:rRNA from 1 species
CAGUCGCCGCGGGAAUACGAAGGGUGCAAGCGUUACCCGGAAUUACUGGGCGUAAAGCGUGCGCAGGCGGUUAUAUAAGACAGAUGUGAAAUCCCCGGGCUCAACCUGGGACCUGCAUUUGUGACUGUAUAGCUAGAGUACGGUAGAGGGGGACGGAAUUCCGCGUGUAGCAGUGAAAUGCGUAGAUAUGCGGAGGAACACCGAUGGCGAAGGCAAUCCCCUGGACCUGUACUGACGCUCAUGCACGAAAGCGUGGGGAGCAAACAGGAUUAGAUACCCCCGUAGUCCCUGUCUCUUAUAC